rnacentral:rRNA from 1 species
AACAUAGCCUUUAGCACACCAAGUAUUARAGGUAGCGCCUGCCCAGUGAAAUUUAANCGGCCGCGGUAUCCUAACCGUGCAAAGGUAGCGUAAUCACUUGUCUUAUAAAUAAAGACUAGUAUGAAUGGCUAAAUGAAUAUUUAACUGUCUCCUUUGACUAAUCAGUGAAACUGAUCUUUCAGUACAAAAGCUGAAAUAUAACCAUAAGACGAGAAGACCCUGUGGAGCUUUAGACUUAUUCCAAACAUUAUACUAAAACAUGUUUAUGGUAAAAAUCUUAAGUUGGGGCGACUUUGGAGCAAAACAAAACCUCCAAGAACAAAGCACUGCUUAAGCCAAGGCUUACAGGCCAAAAUUCUCUAGACCCAGUACCACUGACCAACGAACCAAGUUACCCCAGGGAUAACAGCGCCAUCUUCUUCAAGAGUUCAUAUCGACAAGAAGGCUUACGACCUCGAUGUUGGAUCAGGACACCCAAAUGGUGCAGCCGCUGUWAARKSKYCKYWKKYKYAACGAUUAAUAGUCCUACGUGA